GAUGAAGAACGUAGCGAAAUGCGAUACGUAGUGUGAAUUACAGAAUUCAGUGAAUCAUCGAAUCUUUGAACGCACAUUGCACCUCUCGGUAUUCCGGGAGGUAUGCCUGUUCGAGCGUCAUUUGUACCCUCAAGCUCUGCUUGGUGUUGGGUGUUUGUUCCGCCUCUGUGUGUGAACUCGCCUCAAAACAAUUGGCAGCCGGCGUACUUGUUUCGGAGCGCAGCACAUUUUGCGAUCCAGAUCAACGUACAGCGGCAUCCAAGAAGCCUUAUUUAACGCUCUUGACCUCGGAUCAGGUAGGGAUACCCGCUGAACUUAAGCAUAUCAAUAAGCGGAGGA
rnacentral:misc_RNA from 1 species